AACGAACGCUGGCGGCAUGCCUAACACAUGCAAGUCGAACGAGACCUUCGGGUCUAGUGGCGCACGGGUGCGUAACGCGUGGGAACCUGCCCUUAGGUUCGGAAUAACUCCCCGAAAGGGGUGCUAAUACCGGAUAAUGUCUUCGGACCAAAGAUUUAUCGCCUUUGGAUGGGCCCGCGUUGGAUUAGCUAGUUGGUAGGGUAAAAGCCUACCAAGGCGACGAUCCAUAGCUGGUCUGAGAGGAUGAUCAGCCACACUGGGACUGAGACACGGCCCAGACUCCUAAGGGAAGGAGCAGUGGGGAAUAUUGGAACAUGGGCGAAAGGCUGAUUCAGCCAAGCCGGGUGAGUGAUGAAGGCCUUAGGGUUGUAAAGCUCUUUUACCCGGGAUGAUAAUGACAGUACCGGGAGAAUAAGCUCCGGCUAACUCCGUG
rnacentral:rRNA from 1 species